rnacentral:piRNA from 1 species
UAGUGGUACAUUUGUCUAAUCUAAGCACUC